AUUGAACGCUGGCGGCAUGCUUUACACAUGCAAGUCGAACGGUAACAGGCCGCAAGGUGCUGACGAGUGGCGAACGGGUGAGUAAUGCAUCGGAACGUGCCCAGUCGUGGGGGAUAACGCAGCGAAAGCUGCGCUAAUACCGCAUACGAUCUCUGGAUGAAAGCGGGGGACCGAAAGGCCUCGCGCGAUUGGAGCGGCCGAUGCCAGAUUAGGUAGUUGGUGGGGUAAAGGCCCACCAAGCCAACGAUCUGUAGCUGGUCUGAGAGGACGACCAGCCACACUGGGACUGAGACACGGCCCAGACUCCUACGGGAGGCAGCAGUGGGGAAUUUCGGACAAUGGGAGCAAGCCUGAUCCAGCAAUGCCGCGUGCAGGAAGAAGGCCUUCGGGUUGUAAACUGCUUUUGUACGGAACGAAACGGUCCGGGUUAAUACCCUGGGCUAAUGACGGUACCGUAAGAAUAAGCACCGGCUAACUACGUGCCAGCAGCCGCCGCAGUAA
rnacentral:rRNA from 1 species